GACGAACGCUGGCGGCGUGCUUAACACAUGCAAGUCGAACGGAAAGGCCCUGCUUUUGUGGGGUGCUCGAGUGGCGAACGGGUGAGUAACACGUGAGUAACCUGCCCUUGACUUUGGGAUAACUUCAGGAAACUGUGGCUAAUACCGGAUAGGAGCUCCUGCUGCAUGGUGGGGGUUGGAAAGUUUCGGCGGUUGGGGAUGGACUCGCGGCUUAUCAGCUUGUUGGUGGGGUAGUGGCUUACCAAGGCUUUGACGGGUAGCCGGCCUGAGAGGGUGACCGGACACAUUGGGACUGAGAUACGGCACAGACUACUACGGGAGGCAGCAGUGGGGAAUAUUGCACAAUGGGCGGAAGCCUGAUGCAGCAACGCCGCGUGCGGGAUGACGGCCUUCGGGUUGUAAACCGCUUUCGCAAGUGACGAAGCGUGAGUGACGGUAAUGGGUAAAGAAGCACCGGCUAACUACGUG
rnacentral:rRNA from 1 species